GCUACGGGGUGCUGCAGUGGGGAAUAUCGCACAAUGGGGGAAACCCUGAUGCAGCGACGCCGCGUGAGUGAAGAAGUAAUUCGUUACGUAAAGCUCUAUCAGCAGGGAAGAAACACUGACCUUACGGUCAGCAGACGGUACCUGAGUAAGAAGCCCCGGCUAACUACGUGCCAACAGCCGCGGUAAUACGUAGGGGGCAAGCGUUAUCCGGAUUUACUGGGUGGAAAGGGAGCGUAGACGGUGCGCCAAGUCUGGAGGUAAAUGACGCAGCUUAACUGCGGAACUGCUUUGGAAACUGGCGAACUAGAGUGCGGGAGGGGUAAGCGGAAUUCCUAGUGUAGCGGUGAAAUGCGUAGAUAUUAGGAGGAACACCGGUGGCGAAGGCGGCUUACUGGACCGUAACUGACGUUGAGGCUCGAAAGCGUGGGGAGCAAACAGGAUUAGAUACCCGGGUAGUC
rnacentral:rRNA from 1 species